ACACCAGCAAAAUCUGGUGUCAGGAUUGGCGUCCUGGUAAUGUUAUCGGCGACAUAUGACGCGCCUAGCGUCUUUUUU
rnacentral:sRNA from 1 species